rnacentral:rRNA from 1 species
AAAAAAAAUUGUUGUAACGGCGAGCGGGGCGCGCAAAAAUUUAGGUAUUUAUUUUUCCCGCUUCUGAAAUCUUAAUUUUCUUAAAUUUUUAAUAUUAAUUACGCCCAGAAAAAUUUUAUAAUUUUUAAAAUUUUUAAAAUUCCCCCCUAAAAUUUUUAUGUAAAAAAAGGGUCAUAAAAAAUUUUUUAAACCAUAAGAAAAUUAUUAAAUUUUUUGGGGGAGAGUUUUUUUUUUUUUUUUUUAUAUUAAAAUAUUUAAUAUAUAUGGAAUAUUUUAAUAAUUUCUCUUUUUUUUUAAUCAGAAUAUUAAUUGUAAAUAUAAAAGGGCUAUAUAAAAUGUGAGAGUUUAAAAA